GGUGGGAUGGCCGAGUGGUCCAAGGCGGCAGAUUUAAGCUCUGCUACUCGUGAGAGUGCGCGGGUUCGAACCCCGCUCCCAUCA
rnacentral:tRNA from 1 species